rnacentral:tRNA from 1 species
GAGGCUGUAGCUCAGUGGUAAGAGUGCUCACCUAACGUGUGUGAGGCAUGGGGUUCAAUCCUCAGCAUCA